CUAGCUGUAAACGAUGGAUACUAGGCGUUGAGAGUAUCGACCCUCUCAGUGUCGUAGCUAACGCGUUAAGUAUCCCGCCUGGGGAGUACGCGCGCAAGCGUGAAACUCAAAGGAAUUGACGGGGGCCCGCACAAGCGGUGGAGUAUGUGGUUUAAUUCGAUGCAACGCGAAGAACCUUACCAGGGCUUGACAUGUCCGGAACCCUGCCCAAAGGCGGGGGUGCCUACGGGAACAGGAACACAGGUGGUGC
rnacentral:rRNA from 1 species